AGAAAGCCUUAGACGGCUAAGAGUUACAUAAGUUAUUAAAGCAAUUUUUUAGACUCAUGUGAUGAUACAAACAGUAACCUUGGAAUCUCUUACACAAGCUAGAUUCAACCUCAAUGUAAAAGUUAAUUUUUGAGAUUUGUUUAACUAAUGCUAAAUCGUUAAGAAUAAUCAGCGUUUUUUAAGGAAUGUAAUUGUUACUAAAGUUGUUUUUUAAUUUCCUCGGUUUUUUCUUUCUUAAUCCACUCAUAUCUCUAGAUUUUAUUUACUUUUUUACAUUUAUAUAUGGAUAUACAUAUAUAAACAAUCCGCUGAUGUUUGCAUUGCAUUGCAUGCUUACUCAUAUGAAAAUGAUUAAUCACGUAGCUGUCGAGGUUUCGUUAAAAGCUCUAAACUAUUUCUUACUUCUUUUCUGUUUUUUUUUUGAUAUUUUCCUUACUUUUAUUGUUCUAUUCAAAAUAAAAAGGCAGAUCAAAAAAUAAAAUAUAAAGAUAUUAUACAAUAAUUGGCUAAUCUGUUGGAUUGAUGAAACAGCGAAAAGACGAGGAUCGAGUGUAAAUAAAAAAAAAAAAAAGAAAAAAGGAAGCUGUUAAGAUCAUAAAAAUUCAGCAUUGGAUUAGGCGAAAACAAUACAAAAACCCAGUGUAACAAGUUUCCUAUAAAACAAAGUGCAAUCUGCCUAAUUCUUAAUUUUUUUGAGAGUUUCACAGUUCGUUUGAUUAAAUACCUUUUUUUUUUGGUUUCAACAUUUGUUAUAAAACUCAAUUGAGAUAAAAUUUCAAUUUGAAUUGACUGUGUCGCCUAUUCAAGAUUUGUAUACCGUAAUAAAACAUAGAUAAU
rnacentral:lncRNA from 1 species